UUGACAGAAGAGAGGGAGCACAAACCUGCCAUUAAGGUAUGCAUUACCUUGUUGUAGGAGUGUGCUCUCUCUUCUUCUGUCAU
rnacentral:pre_miRNA from 1 species